rnacentral:piRNA from 1 species
UACCUGAAUGACAAAAGACUGCACUUGA